rnacentral:rRNA from 1 species
UACAGAGGGGGCGAGCGUUAUUCGGAAUUAUUGGGCGUAAAGAGCUUGUAGGCGGUUUGUCGCGUCUGCUGUGAAAAUCCGGGGCUCAACCCCGGACUUGCAGUGGGUACGGGCAGACUGGAGUGUGGUAGGGGAGACUGGAAUUCCUGGUGUAGCGGUGGAUGCGCAGAUAUCAGGAGGAACACCGAUGGCGAAGGCAGGUCUCUGGGCCACUACUGACGCUGAGAAGCGAAAGCAUGGGGAGCGAACAGG